rnacentral:misc_RNA from 1 species
AAUUUUUUUUUUUUUUUUUAAAGUUUAAACUUUUUUUGUCUCUAAAUAAAUAUUAAUUUUAGUUGCAUGGGUAACGUGGCACUUCCAUUAUCUCAUUAACGUGGAAACUGACUGCAGAAUAUAAUUGUGCAGUCCUCAAAAAUUCAAAUUUUAAUUGGUAAUUUUUUAAUUUAGGCAAAUAACAUAAACUAAACGGUAAACAAUAGAUAUAAAUGAGGUCAUUAGUUGUUAGUGUUUUAUGUUACAAUAAAAAAUGAAAUACAUAGCACCAGAGGAAGCCUCCUAAACUGAAAAGGCAAAUAACAUAAACUAAAAGGGAAACGAUAGAUAUAAAUGAGGUCAUUUUCCAAUAGUGUGGAUCUCCGGUAAAACCAGAGGUGUUUCGCUUAUUAACACUUAAACAUCCACUACAUUUUGUGCUAAUGAAUGUUAUUUCAUUAGUUUCUCAGUUUCUUUAGCUAUGCAGUUAAAUUCUAAGGUAAUGCAGAAAUCCUGAGGUGAACUUCAAUAAGAAACUUGUGAAACUCUGCUAGAAGCCACAGUUCUCAAUGGAACACAGAACAUUCAUAUGAUAUCUUUGCAACGGUUGCAGAUAAAAUAUCUUGUACAAUAUGUAUAAAGAUAGAAAAAUAUUAGAAUCAAGAACAAGGCUACUUUUCACCGAGCAAAAGAGCCUUCAAAAUAGCUUCACUCACCCGAGGAACGUAGGGGAACAAGUGUCCAGCACCAGGCAACUCAUGGUAGUGAAUCCAUGGAAGUUUUUGGGCAACAUAACGCUGCAAUGUUACUGGCACCAUCCUGUCUUCAUCUCCUUGCCAUAGAUGGACCGAGCCUUCAUUGUUAGGAAAAGGAUUUUCAAUAUCCAUAGGAUCAAAUUCCCAUUUCCCAAAUCCAACCAUCAGGUCACGAUGUAGGGAUUCAAAUUCCCCUUGUUGGGUUGCCUUUUCUAAAAAAAAAUAAAAUAUGAGAAAUGGCAAUAUAUCACGGCUAAGGCCAUAUUCAGCAAUAUUAGUUAUUUAGUUAUUUUAAUAGCUGCCAGCUGUUAAAUAUUAGUUAUUUAUAUAAUGAUUUAAAGCAAAAAUACUUGAUAAAAUAGUUGUUGAGUCAGCUGUUAAAUGUAAAAAUAUUAACAUUAUCUUGUCGACUCUAGUAAAAACGCUCCUCAACUUUUAGGGUCAAAACACUAAACAGUACUUUAAAAACAGUUGUUGAAUAGGGUCUAAAUAUUAUGAGAAAGUGCAACAAGUCAACAAUGGCUUGUAAUGGUACAUAGAGAAUGAAGUACCUUGGGUGUUUGACUCCCAGCAACUGUGGAAAGAAGUUCCAGAUCUUGUCGAGAGAAAACCUCAGGCCUUCUGGCAGCAACAGCUGAUGCAGGAAACCAUUUCUGCGUGUUCCACCAGUAGGUUAGCCAUGGAGUAUAGUGAGCAACACGUAGUGUCCAUUGGUCUUGUUGCAGCUGUAGGUAGUACGCCUCUCUAGACAAGUUGGCAGGAAAGCUAGGCCACCAAUAGUUGACAACAGGAGCAAUCAGUGUUGCUCCUGAUAGCCUAUGAGGGAUGUACUUGAGGCAGCCCCAAACCACCUGGCCUCCCAUGGAAAACCCAAUUACAUAAAAUUUUGAUCCCAGUCCUAAAUGAUCAGCAAGCUCCUCUAUAUCAGAAGCCAAACUCUUUGGAGUUCGCUUUGAAUCUGGAUCACUUUCUCCAUAACCUGGCCGGUCAAAAGACACAAAAUAUACACCUAGCUCCUCCAUUACUUCCUGAAAAUGAAAAAUAUAAAGGAAAGAAGAUGACUAAUUUCUCCAGAAAACUAAAACUAAAAAACCUCUAGAUUAAUGAAACUUUUAGAAUUAUUACUAAUAUAAAUUUAAAAUAGAAGGUGAAGCACCAGAGGGAGGCUUGUUAAACCCCCAAUAGCAUCUUUGGAGGAGGAAAAGCCAUGAACAUAUAUGAUCUUGUAUUUUGCAGUUUCUCUUGAUACACCAUGCUCCUUAUAGGCCAAAUGCCUUCCGUCUCUCAGCUUUAUUCUAGGUGCCGUGAUGGGAGGCCCACCUAGGCUGCCACAAAGCUUGGGAGGCGGAGGGUAGGCAGCCUGAUAUGCCCAUGCCAGGAACCCAAUCAACAAAACCACUGCAAUUUCCCUGAACAUCCCUACAAAGAAUUAAAACAUUUCUUCAAAAGCUGCGCUAAAGUCGGGGAAAUUAUUAAUUUACCUGACAAAAAAUAGUUACCCAGACCGCGAAGAUUACUUAAAAUAUUAAUCAAAACGAUAAAAAUUUGUCUAAAAGUUUGGCCAAAACCAUUAGAUUAUAAUCAACAAAAGAUUAACUGAUAAAUCAAGUCCAAACAAAGGUAUGUAAAAGAAACUUACAAAUUAAAGAAAAAUCUCCUUAAAAUUUAUGGGAAUAGAGACUUUCUAAACUAUGACAAAUCCACAGAGAGUACUUGAAAAGCAAACAAAAAAAAAAAAGGGCUGUGUGCAACUUACCUUAAAUCACAUUGUAUGCCCUCAGAAGAGCUUUAAGUACUGAUAAGUCAUUCCAGAAUAUUCCAAAAGAAAAAAUAAAUACCAAGAUAAACAAAAUUGGCAUUCAUUCGCUGAUGAAUUAGGUGAAGAAAAUAAUUGCUGGCAUUCAAUUCUUUGAUAUAGUAGUAGAUCCAUAGUCUCCACAUAGGAAAGUAAAAACCCAGUUCAUAAUCCAUACCUGUUAGAUUAAUUAUCAAGAAACUUCAAAACCUGGACCACAAAAAUAAAAAUGAAGUAUGCUAAAAAGUAAUGACCUGAAGAGAAGGGAAAUGAAAAGAGAGAGGAGACCUGAAAGAAACUGAAGUGGCAAAUACCAAUUGAACCACCAAAAAAGUAGGCUUUCAAGACUAAAAAGAAACAGCAGAAAAGUAGGAGCUCCAAGGACUCCAACACCUUUAAUUGAUGGAAGAUAAUUAAGACAAAGUAACAGUACCUAAUACCUACCAGAAGAAGUUGAAGAUGGUUCCAAAUAUCCCAACAACCCUUUGAUUUAACCAUAUAUAAGAUAAACAUUUUUU